GAUGAACGCUAGCGGCAGGCCUAACACAUGCAAGUCGAGGGGUAACUAGAGUGAUAGCAAUAUUACUUUGGCUAGACCGGCGCACGGGUGCGUAACACGUAUGCAACCUACCUUAUACUGGGGAAUAACUUCGAGAAAUCGGCGCUAAUACCCCAUAACAUUGCGAAGAGGCAUCUCUUUGCAAUUAAAGCUCCGGCGGUAUAAGAUGGGCAUGCGUCCGAUUAGCUAGUUGGUGAGGUAACGGCUCACCAAGGCUACGAUUGGUAGGGGUUCUGAGAAGAAGAUCCCCCAGACUGGUACUGAGACACGGACCAGACUCCUACGGGAGGCAGCAGUGAGGAAUAUUGCGCAAUGGACGAAAGUCUGACGCAGCCAUGCCGCGUGCAGGAUGACGGCCCUAUGGGUUGUAAACUGCUUUUGUACGGGAAUAAACCCUUCUACGUGUAGGAGGCUGAAGGUACCGUAAGAAUAAGCACCGGCUAACUCCGUGCCAGCAGCCGCGGUAA
rnacentral:rRNA from 1 species